UCAAAAAGAUUUACAACAAUUAAUUAAUUUCUAUAUAGUGACCUAAAUCAUUUUCCUUUGUAAUGGCCGUGCCUCAAGUUACAUUGCUUAGAUAUAAAUUUUUCCACUGUUACAAACAUAAAAUCUGCAAUAAGUGCAACUUAAGUGCACUAGUGUAACUAGUGUUACAAAUAAUAAUACACCUUAAGUAGGGGAGCGCGGGGCACAAAGAAACGCAGGGUUAAAUGUAACAGAGUUUAAGAUAUUUGCUCAGGGUUAACCAGGGCAUGCUUCCAAGGUUUUCAUCACAGUGUCGACAGUGUCCUGCCAAUUAUUGGAAAAUUUCAUUGAAAUUUGGAUGAGAAACAGGAGAAACCAGCCACAACUUAUCUCUGGGAAACAUUCACACACACAUUCACACACACACACACGUACAAUACAGACAAUUUAGCCAACCAAUGGGCUAUAUGCACGCAUUACUUCCGCGUUUUGUCUAAGGCCGCGGUCCAGCUUUCGGUCCGGAAAUUUUAAGCGGAGGUAAACAGUAUUAUGGCAGAGUCGUCAAUAUUUACUCACUGUUUGCGAGUAAGUUAUGGUCAACGAUGUGAAAAGGAUUGUCCGGAUGUGCACUACAACACCGCAGAGCAAACUUGAGAAAUGUUUCAAGUUUUAUGCAUCUUCCUACCUGUGCAAUUAUGAAGGUAACAUUAUGAGAUUCAGAGCUAGAAAAUUUUGUGUGUUACUCCAUCCUGGAGAGGACAUCCGUCAGAAAAUCCAUGCCAUCGUCUGCUAGUUAAUAGCUCAUAGCUCAAUAGCUCAUGGGAUAUGCAAACAUUUGGUUGCUUUACUUUUCCAGAAAGCCCAUUACUCUGAAAUGUGUAAUGUGUGUUGUCACAUGAAAAAUUGUCUGGAAUGGAUCAAUUAUGUGUUAAGUUCCAUGAAUCAGAGGGGUGAUUUAUUUAUUUAUUUAAUACGCAUCAGCCCAAAUACCUCUCUAUGCACAAGUUACAGAAGAAGUACCUGAUUCAAGAAAACAACUGAUUCAAUGUUAUUGUUUCUGUUCAUUUGAAUAAAAUAUUUUUUCAAAAUG